rnacentral:rRNA from 1 species
GGAAGACGGCCUGCGGGUUGUAAACUUCUUUUGUCGAAGAAGAAUAAAUGACGGUAUUCGAGGAAUAAGCGUCGGCUAACUCUGUGCCAGCAGCCGCGGUAAGACAGAGGAUGCAAGUGUUAUUCGGAUUGAUUGGGCGUAAAGCGUCUGUAGGCGGUUUGGAAAGUCUUUUGUGAAAUUCUUCAGCUCAACUGGGGGUCCGCAAAAGAAACUUCUAGGCUUGAGGGAAGUAGAGGUACAGGGAAUUUCCGGUGGAGCGGUGAAAUGCGUAGAUAUCGGAAGGAACACCAAUAUGGCGAAGGCACUGUACUGGGCUUUACCUGACGCUAAGAGACGAAAGCUAAAGGAGUGAUUAGGAUUAGAUACCCUAGUAAUUUUAGCCGUAAACGAUGGAAACUCACUGCCGAGCCGGUAUUCGGAGCGGUGGUCAAGCUAACGCGUGAAGUUUCCCGCCUGGUGACUACGCAUGCAAAUGUGAAACUCAAAGGAAUUGACGGGGACCCGCACAAGCGGUGGAGUAUGUGGUUUAAUUCGAUGCAACGCGAAUAACCUUACCAAGGUUUUGAAAUCAUUUUCUAAACUCUU